rnacentral:rRNA from 1 species
AUAGCUGAUUGCACCAACAAAUACUUGAUGCAAUAUUGACUCUGUCAAAUAAAAUUCUAGGUAGAAUUAUGAUAAUGACAUUGUCUGCCUAUAUGUCUUGACCAAAUUACGUGCCAGCAGUCGCGGUAAUACGUAGAAGACUAGUGUUAUUCAUCUUUAAUAGGUUUAAAGGGUACCUAGACGGUAAAUCAAGCCUUCACAGGGACUAAUUUACUAGAGUUACUUACGAGGGGGUAUUAAAGUACUGCAGGUGUAGAGAUGAAAUUCUGUCAUACCUCUUUUCAAAAGAAAAAUCAUGGCACAGGUAUAGGUGAAAGCAUCCCCUUAUGUGAUAACUGACGUUGAAGGACGAAGGCUUUGUGUCGCGAACAGGAUUAGAUACCCCAGUAGUCAAAGCAGAAAAUGAUGAAUGUCAUAGAUUAGAUAAAUAGUUUAUUCUAUAAAUGAAAAUGUAAGCAUUCCACCUCAAGAGUAAUUUGGCAACAUUGGAACUGAAAUCAUUAGACCGUUUCUGAAACCAGUAGUGAAGUAUGUUGUUUAAUUUGAUGAUCCGCAAAAAACCUUACCACAAUUUGAAUAUUUAUAUCUAUCUUUUUUUUCGUAAAGAAAUAAAAAGGUAAUAUGUUUACAAGCGUUGCACGGCUGUCUUCAGUUAAUGUCGCGAGACUUUGGUUAGUUCCAUUAAAUUAACGUAAACCCUUACUUUAUUUUUAUAUGAAGUAGUUCCCCGCUAUAUUGGAUAUGAUAACAGGGACUAAGA